rnacentral:rRNA from 1 species
AGAGUUUGAUCAUGGCUCAGGAUGAACGCUAGCUACAGGCUUAACACAUGCAAGUCGAGGGGAAACGACAUCGAAAGCUUGCUUUUGAUGGGCGUCGACCGGCGCACGGGUGAGUAACGCGUAUCCAACCUGCCCAUCACUUGGGGAUAACCUUGCGAAAGUAAGACUAAUACCCAAUGAUAUCUCUAGAAGGCAUCUGAAAGAGAUUAAAGAUUUAUCGGUGAUGGAUGGGGAUGCGUCUGAUUAGCUUGGUUGGCGGGGUAACGGCCCACCAAGGCGACGAUCAGUAGGGGUUCUGAGAGGAAGGUCCCCACGAUUGGAACUGAGACACGGUCCAAACUCCUACGGGAGGCA